CUUGGUUCAGGGCUCAGUUCAGCGCUCCCUGAACUGUCUGAGGAGCUGGAGUUGCUCCCUCCGCAGGCGCGUUUCUGUCUGCAGGUUUAUCCUGUUCAGUAGGUCAGGGUUUGUUACUGACAACCAUGACCUGCUGUGAGCCCUUCUGCGAGUGUGGAGCUGGGGGGCAGGAAGGGCAGCCUUAGCUGUGCCGACGCUUCGUCCUGUCAGGGCAUUUGCACGCCAAAGGCAAAGAAGAAAAAAUGUCCAAAUCAUUAAAGAACUACAUUACUAUUAAGCCAUCGACUACAGUGACAGCGCCAUGCUCCAAGCUCAGCAGCUGCUCCUGGGGCUGGGCUCUUUCCUGGAGGAUGCACGUGCCUACAUGAAGGGGCAGCUGGCCUGCGGCUCCGUCAGGGAAGCGAUGCUGUGGGAGAGGUAAGAGGCCCGCCUAGCACCCGGCGUGGCACCCCUCCUGUGGCCUGCUGGGUGCUGCUGGUGGGCUCCUGAAGGGGAAGAGGGGCCCCCAGGAGACAGGGCGCUGGACAGGAGGUGUGGGGUCAGGGACUGCCCAGAGAGGCCCCAGGAGACAGGGUGCUGGGCAGGAGGUGCAGGUGUGGGGUCAGGGGCUCCCCAGAGGCCACAGGACACUGGGUGCUGGACAGGAGGUGUGGGGUCAGGGGCUCCCGAGACAUCCCAGGGAGACGGCGCUGGGCAGGAAGUGUGCCUGGGGCCCUCGGGCUCUGAGCCUCCUGCUCAGAGUGGCUUUGGGCUCGGGUUCCCUGUGCGAGGAGCGGAGCUGCUCAUCCCUCCCAGUCCUGACGGUGAGGAGCCAAAAUCUAUAAAACACACAGGCCUGGGCCCACAGCAUCGCCUCCACUCCCCACCCACGGGUGUCCUGGGCAGCGCUGCACAUUCAUCCCGGCGUGCAGAGUCUUCCGGAUAGUCUUGGUGAUAACCCACCCCUGCCGCUUCAGCAGGGUAGGCAGCCAGUGGCCACGGGAGGCUGAGAUCCGGGA
rnacentral:sRNA from 1 species